rnacentral:rRNA from 1 species
UACGUAGGGGGCAAGCGUUGUCCGGAAUCAUUGGGCGUAAAGCGCGUGUAGGCGGCCCGGUAAGUCCGCUGUGAAAGUCGGGGGCUCAACCCUCGAAUGCCGGUGGAUACUGUCGGGCUAGAGUGCGGAAGAGGAGAAUGGAAUUCCUGGUGUAGCGGUGAAAUGCGCAGAUAUCAGGAAGAACACCCGUGGCGAAGGCGGUUCUCUGGGACGGUACUGACGCUGAGACGCGAAAGCGUGGGGAGCGAACAGG